rnacentral:rRNA from 1 species
GAUGAACGCUGGCGGCGUGCCUAAUACAUGCAAGUCGAGCGAACGGACGAGAAGCUUGCUUCUCUGAUGUUAGCGGCGGACGGGUGAGUAACACGUGGAUAACCUACCUAUAAGACUGGGAUAACUUCGGGAAACCGGAGCUAAUACCGGAUGAUAUUUUGAACCGCAUGGUUCAAAAGUGAAAGACGGUCUUGCUGUCACUCAUAGAUGGAUCCGCGCUGCAUUAGCUAGUUGGUAAGGUAACGGCUUACCAAGGCAACGAUGCAUAGCCGACCUGAGAGGGUGAUAGGCCACACUGGAACUGAGACGCGGUCCAGACUCCUACGGGAGGCAGCAGUAGGGAAUCUUCCGCAAUGGGCGAAAGCCUGACGGAGCAACGCCGCGUGAGUGAUGAAGGUCUUCGGAUCGUAAAACUCUGUUAUUAGGGAAGAACAUAUGUGUAAGUAACUGUGCACAUCUUGACGGUACCUAAUCAGAAAGCCACGGCUAACUACGUG